AACGAACGCUGGCGGCAGGCCUAACACAUGCAAGUCGAACGCUUCAGCAAUGAAGAGUGGCAGACGGGUGAGUAACGCGUGGGAACCUUCCCAGUGGUACGGAAUAGCCCAGGGAAACUUGGGGUAAUACCGUAUAAGCCCUUAGGGGGAGAGAUUUAUCGCCAUUGGAUGGGCCCGCGUCGGAUUAGCUUGUUGGUGAGGUAAAAGCUCACCAAGGCGACGAUCCGUAGCUGGUCUGAGAGGAUGAUCAGCCACACUGGGACUGAGACACGGCCCAGACUCCUACGGGAGGCAGCAGUGGGGAAUAUUGGACAAUGGGCGCAAGCCUGAUCCAGCCAUGCCGCGUGAGUGACGAAGGCCUUAGGGUUGUAAAGCUCUUUCAGCUGGGAAGAUAAUGACGGUACCAGCAGAAGAAGCCCCGGCUAACUCCGUG
rnacentral:rRNA from 1 species